rnacentral:rRNA from 1 species
CCUACGGGAGGCAGCAGUGGGGAAUAUUGCGCAAUGGGGGAAACCCUGACGCAGCAACGCCGCGUGAAUGAUGAAGGUCUUCGGAUCGUAAAGUUCUAUCAGCAGGGAUGAAUAUUGACAGUACCUGACUAAGAAGCCCCGGCUAACUACGUGCCAGCAGCCGCGGUAA